CUGGGUGUGGCUCAAUGGUAGAGCAUUUGCCUAGCGUGCACAAAGGCCCUGGGUUUAAUCUCUAGCACACAAA
rnacentral:tRNA from 1 species